rnacentral:rRNA from 1 species
GGCGAACGCUGGCGGCGUGCUUAACACAUGCCAGUCGAACGGAAAGGCCCUGCUUUUGUGGGGUGCUCGAGCGGCGAACGGGUGAGUAACACGUGAGUAACCUGCCCUUGACUUUGGGAUAACUUCAGGAAACUGGGGCUAAUACCGGAUAGGAGCUCCUGCUGCAUGGUGGGGGUUGGAAAGUUUCGGCGGUUGGGGAUGGACUCGCGGCUUAUCAGCUUGUUGGUGGGGUAGUGGCUUACCAAGGCUUUGACGGGUAGCCGGCCUGAGAGGGUGACCGGCCACAUUGGGACUGAGAUACGGCCCAGACUCCUACGGGAGGCAGCAGUGGGGAAUAUUGCACAAUGGGCGGAAGCCUGAUGCAGCAACGCCGCGUGCGGGAUGACGGCCUUCGGGUUGUAAACCGCUUUCGCCUGUGACGAAGCGUGAGUGACGGUAAUGGGUAAAGAAGCACCGGCUAACUACGUG